CCAGGUUGAUUCUGCCUGACGUAGACGCUAUUCCCUAAGAUUAACCCAUGCAUGUUAUUGAUUUUUGAAAAAUGGACUGCUCAGUAAUGCUCACUUUAUUUUAUGUAUACUUAUUAUAACUACGUUAAAGUGUAGAUAAAAUGUAUACAGUAAGAGUGAGACCUAUCAGCUAGUUGUUAAGGUAAUGGCUUAACAAGGCAGUGACGGGUAACGGUAUUACUUUGUAAUAUUCCGGAGAAGGAGCCUGAGAGACGGCUACUAAGUCUAAGGAUUGCAGCAGGGGCGAAACUUGACCUAUGGAUUUUAUCUGAGGCAGUUAUGGGAAGUAAUAUUAUAUUGUUUCAUAUUUUAAAAGUAUAUGAGGUGAUUAAUUGGAGGGCAAAUCAAGUGCCAGCAGCCGCGGUAAUACUUGUUCCAAGAGUGUGUAUGAUGAUUGAUGCAGUUAAAAAGUCCGUAGUUUAUUUUUAAGAAGCAAUAUGAGGUGUACUGUAUAGUUGGGAGAGAGAUGAAAUGUGACGACCCUGACUGGACGAACA
rnacentral:rRNA from 1 species